rnacentral:tRNA from 2 species
UGACUCCGUAGCUCAGCUGGAUAGAGCGCAGCCCUGCGAAGGCUGAGGUCGGUGGUUCGAAUCCACUCGGAGUCGU